rnacentral:rRNA from 1 species
GCGGAGGGAUCAUUACUGAGUUACCGCUCUAUAACCCUUUGUGAACAUACCUAACCGUUGCUUCGGCGGGCAGGGGAAGCCUCUCGCGGGCCUCCCCUCCCGGCGCCGGCCCCCACCACGGGGACGGGGCGCCCGCCGGAGGAAACCAAACUCUAUUUACACGACGUCUCUUCUGAGUGGCACAAGCAAAUAAUUAAAACUUUUAACAACGGAUCUCUUGGUUCUGGCAUCGAUGAAGAACGCAGCGAAAUGCGAUAAGUAAUGUGAAUUGCAGAAUUCAGUGAAUCAUCGAAUCUUUGAACGCACAUUGCGCUCGCCAGCAUUCUGGCGAGCAUGCCUGUUCGAGCGUCAUUUCAACCCUCAAGCACCGCUUGGUUUUGGGGCCCCACGGCACACGUGGGCCCUUAAAGGUAGUGGCGGACCCUCCCGGAGCCUCCUUUGCGUAGUAACUAACGUCUCGCACUGGGAUCCGGAGGGACUCUUGCCGUAAAACCCCCAAAUUUUUUACAGGUUGACCUCGGAUCAGGUAGGAAUACCCGCUGAACUUAAGCAUAU